GAGCAACGCGAAACAGUGGCUAAGACUGGAUAGGAAGAUAAAAGGCAUCUUUUAUCUUUUUAAAGACCUAGUAAUAGGUAUGCUUUAGGAGGGGCUUGCGCCAUAUUAGUUAGUUGGUAGGGUAAUGGCCUACCAAGACGAUGAUGUGUAGCUGGACUGAGAGGUUGAACAGCCACAUUGGGACUGAGACACGGCCCAAACUCCUACGGGAGGCAGCAGUAGGGAAUUUUCGGCAAUGGAGGAAACUCUGACCGAGCAACGCCGCGUGAAUGACGAAGUACUUCGGUAUGUAAAGUUCUUUUAUCAAGGAAGAAAAGCAAAUGGCGAACCAUUUGUUUGCCGGUACUUGAUGAAUAAGCCCCGGCUAAUUAUGUGCCAGCAGCCGCGGUAAGACAUAAGGGGCAAGUGUUAUCCGGAAUUAUUGGGCGUAAAGGGUGCGUAGGCGGUCUAGUAAGUCAGUGGUGUAAUGGCAACGCUUAACGUUGUCCGGCUAUUGAAACUGCUAAACUUGAGUUAGAUAGAGGCGAGUGGAAUUCCAUGUGUAGCGGUAAAAUGCGUAAAUAUAUGGAGGAACACCAGAGGCGUAGGCGGCUCGCUGGGUCUUAACUGACGCUGAGGCACGAAAGCGUGGGGAGCAAACAGGAUUAGAUACCCUGGUAGUCCACGCCGUAAACGAUGAGUACUAAGUGUCGGGUUAAACCGGUACUGAAGUUAACACAUUAAGUACUCCGCCUGAGUAGUACGUACGCAAGUAUGAAACUUAAAGGAAUUGACGGGACUCCGCACAAGCGGUGGAUCAUGUUGUUUAAUUCGAAGAUACCCGAAAAACCUUACCAGGUCUUGACAUGUUUUUGCAAAAUGAUAGUAAUAUCGUGGAGGUUACCAGAAACACAGGUGGUGCAUGGUUGUCGUCAGCUCGUGUCGUGAGAUGUUAGGUUAAGUCCUAAAACGAGCGAAACCCUUAUCGUUAGUUGCCAGCACGUUAUGGUGGGGACUUUAACGAGACUGCCAAUGAUAAAUUGGAGGAAGGUGAGGAUCACGUCAAAUCAGCAUGCCCCUUAUGACCUGGGCUACAAACGUGAUACAAUGGCUGUUACAAAGGGUAGCUGAAACGCAAGUUCUUGGCCAAUCCCCAAAAACAGUCCCAGUCCGGAUUGAAGUCUGCAACUCGACUUCAUGAAGUUGGAAUCGCUAGUAAUCGCGAAUCAGCAUGUCGCGGUGAAUACGUUCUCGGGGUUUGUACACACCGCCCGUCA
rnacentral:rRNA from 1 species